UACGUAGGGUGCAAGCGUUGUCCGGAAUUAUUGGGCGUAAAGAGCUCGUAGGCGGCUUGUCGCGUCGACUGUGAAAACCUGGGGCUUAACUCCGGGCCUGCAGCCGAUACGGGCAAGCUAGAGUUCGGUAGGGGAGACUGGAAUUCCUGGUGUAGCGGUGAAAUGCGUAGAUAUCUGGAGGAACACCGGUGGCGAAGGCGGCAUCCUGGACCGGCAUUGACGCUGAGGCGCGAAAGCCAGGGGAGCAAACGGG
rnacentral:rRNA from 1 species